UACGGGAGGCAGCAGUUAGGAAUAUUCGUCAAUGGGGGAAACCCUGAACGAGCAAUGCCGCGUGAGUGAUGACGGUCUUUUAGAUUGUAAAACUCUGUUGUAAAGGAAGAACCCUUAUUAUAGGUAAUGAUAAUAAGUUGACGGUACUUUACCAGAAAGCCCCGGCUAACUACGUGCCAGCAGCCGCGGUAAU
rnacentral:rRNA from 1 species